rnacentral:rRNA from 1 species
UACGGGGGGGGUAAGCGUUGUUCGGAAUUACUGGGCGUAAAGGGCUCGUAGGCGGCCAACUAAGUCAUACGUGAAAUCCCUCAGCUUAACUGGGGAACUGCGUGUGAUACUGGAUGGCUUGGAUUUGGGAGAGGGAUGCGGAAUUCCAGGUGUAGCGGUGAAAUGCGUAGAUAUCGGGAGGAGCACCAGUGGCGAAGGCGGCUACCUGGCCCACUCUUGACGCUGAGGCGCGAAAGCUAGGGGAGCAAACGGG